AUUGAACGCUGGCGGCAUGCUUUACACAUGCAAGUCGAACGGUAACAGGCCGCAAGGUGCUGACGAGUGGCGAACGGGUGAGUAAUGCAUCGGAACGUGCCCAGUCGUGGGGGAUAACGCAGCGAAAGCUGCGCUAAUACCGCAUACGAUCUAUGGAUGAAAGCGGGGGACCGAAAGGCCUCGCGCGAUUGGAGCGGCCGAUGUCAGAUUAGGUAGUUGGUGGGGUAAAGGCCCACCAAGCCAACGAUCCGUAGCUGGCCUGAGAGGACGACCAGCCACACUGGGACUGAGACACGGCCCAGACUCCUACGGGAGGCAGCAGUGGGGAAUUUUGGACAAUGGGCGCAAGCCUGAUCCAGCAAUGCCGCGUGCAGGAAGAAGGCCUUCGGGUUGUAAACUGCUUUUGUACGGAACGAAACGGUCCGGGUUAAUACCCUGGGCUAAUGACGGUACCGUAAGAAUAAGCACCGGCUAACUACGUGCCAGCAGCCGCCGUAAAAC
rnacentral:rRNA from 1 species